rnacentral:rRNA from 1 species
AACGAACGCUGGCGGCAUGCCUAACACAUGCAAGUCGAACGAGACCUUCGGGUCUAGUGGCGCACGGGUGCGUAACGCGUGGGAACCUGCCCUUAGGUUCGGAAUAACACCCCGAAAGGGGUGCUAAUACCGGAUACUGUCUUCGGACCAAAGAUUUAUCGCCUUUGGAUGGGCCCGCGUUGGAUUAGCUAGUUGGUAGAGUAAAAGCCUACCAAGGCGACGAUCCAUAGCUGGUCUGAGAGGAUGAUCAGCCACACUGGGACUGAGACACGGCCCAGACUCCUACGGGAUGCAGCAGUGGGGAAUAUUGGACAAUGGGCGAAAGCCUGAUCCAGCAAGGCCGCGUGAGUGAUGAAGGCCUUAGGGUUGUAAAGCUCUUUUACCCGGGAUGAUAAUGACAGUACCGGGAGAAUAAGCUCCGGCUAACUCCGUG